rnacentral:lncRNA from 1 species
ACUCAACAAACAACGCUACCCACAUUUUUUUCAUGCACAAAGGUUAUGUGAGAACAAUGCAUCAUUGAGUUUUAUAACAUUCAAAGUUCACCCGCACAUUCUGUUGGGAGAAUGGUAAAUCCAUCGAGCUGUUUGUUAUCAAAAAUGAAACAGAACUUUUCUCAGGACUAAAUCCAGCAUCUCAAAACUAAAUCUGGAGCAAGUGAACUAAUCAGCUCCAGGAGAUUUCUUCACGCCAGAUGAUCGGCGACGGAGGAUGGAGCGUCCCGCGCACAAUGCGCUUGAAGACACCACUGGUGCGAUUUUCUUCUUCUGCUUCUUCUCCACUGCAGCCUCCUUCUCCUUAGCCUCCUCCGCAGCCUCCUUUGCCUCCUUCUCCGCAGCCUGUCUCUUCUUGGCUUCUAAAGGAUCUUGGGGUGGUGGUCUCGAGUAAUCCACACCAGUCAUGCGCUGCCGGUCCUCAAACUCGUUCGGCGGGCUCUCAAUCUCACGGGUAGAUGAAGAUCUGAGCCUAGGUGCAGCUGGUGGCUUUGUCCUGGAAGAGCAAAGUAUGGAAAUAAUAAUGGUGUGGUUCAGUCAAAUAUUUUUUCUGUAAAGAAAUUAAAAUAUGGAAAUUAUAAAGGUGUUGGAUCAUACUGAGAAGCCGUUGUGGGGUGAGGAGGUCCAGCAAGACGACCCAUAAUCCCAUUCAGCAAACCCUGACAUGGGGCACCUGCAGUACCAGUCAACAGUAGGUUAAGAUAACCCCAUAUGUGCUUUCAAAACCAAUUUUAACAGAAGGUGAUUGAGAGACAAAAUAAUAACCUGUAAGGGUAAGGGGUGUAAGAGAGAAAAGUGAUGGUCUCCUAGCUUGAUCCCUGCUUGAUUGGACCCUAACACAAGUAGCAAAAAUCAACAUUUUAAUAAAAUUACUUGGCAAAAGAAAUUUUGUAAACAAAAGGCUGACAGAACUAUCCAACUGAAAUAUGAAGAGAUUGCUUACUGAUGGAGCCAAAGCUGAGCCGCUUCCAAAAGCGCUCUGGGUAACAGUUGCAGUUGGGGUUUGAAAUGAUGUAGGAACUGCAGAAUUUGAUGUUCCUGAAUAUUGUAAGGUUUAACAAAUGUUAAGACAGUAUUGAAUAGACUUAUAUUAGAUUAUAUGCCGAAUGAUGAAGAUAAUCAGAUCGAACAGUGGAUAACCAAAAGCAGAAUUUGUGGUGCCAUGAUUUGCAUAUGCUACAUUAGCAAUCAGUGCGAGUCCAAACAUCCACUAACAUAUAUACAAGAACAAGAUGCAUGUUGAGGAUGCAAGCUUAUCAUUCAAAAUAAAUCAGUAGUUACCAGGUGCGGCAGGGGGGUAAGCAGGGGGUAGCCUCCUAAGCAAAGCAGAAUAGUCCUCACCAGCCUUCCAUCCUGAGGGUCCAAACAGUGAGUACUAACAUAUAUAGACAAACAAGAUACAUAGAGACAAUGCAGCUAACUGUAAGUUAACAAUGCACAAUGUCACAGGUAAUAAAGGGAGAAAUGGUUCUCCUGUGAAGACACAGUUCGAUGGAAUUGGGUAUUAAUUCAUUGCCCAAGGUGAGCAGUGAAGAUGACCACUUACAUAUUCUCUUCACUUCAUGUGAGGAAUUUGUUGGGCAAUUUCUUUUUAGAACACUUUCUUUUGAAACAUCAUUGCUGUUGGAAUGUGGCCUUUUAGCUAUUUAAUAUAAACUGGAGUAGCCGAGUGACUACUUUGUACUUUCAUUGGGCAAGUCAGUAAUUGAGUAAUGCAUUAACAAAAACUGCCAGAAAAGCUGAACAUGCUGUGAGGCAUUUCAAAACUGUGUAAUGUUUGUUGGUGUUGCUUAUAUAACUAGUUUAUCGAUCGAACUUUCAUCACAGAUCAAUGCAAGAAAGGUUUUUCAACACAUACUUGCUUCCCCAAGUUCCAAAUCUAUUUUAACACGAGCAACAUUCCUUCUGAUCCUGCAAAGGUACGAUCGAACGAAAGUAUAUGUUACUUUGUAAAUCAAUAGAAGAUGUAAACUACUUAGGAAAGGUGCUUACCCUUAAGACAAAGCAUUAGGAAAAACUGAAAGAUGCAGAAGCCAACCAUUAUUAUGCCAGAAGAUAUCUGAGAAAACAACAAUUUAUAAUUAUCUCUAGGCCAAGAUAUCUGAAGAAAUAAACCAUUCCCGAUAAUACAUUACUUCCUAGAUGCCUAGUCAUUUAAUAUGAAGUGAUAUUUUCUACCUAAACUGUUGAAAUAUAAAAUGCAUGCUUGGAACAUUCUAGAAGAUUUUGAAAAUCACAAGAGACUUUGACAUACAUAAGGAUAAGAUCAUGGCAAAGUAUGAAGGUUCCAUAAGACUUUGGAGAUAUCAAGAGUUUAGAGUUGCCAUGCUUCAUGGCAACUUAUGAAUAGUCUAGAGCAAGAUAUUUAUAUGGUAGGAUAAGAAUGAGAGAAAAUUCUAGAAUUAGAUAUUCAUAAAGAAAAGUGUGGAAGAUGUCACAUAGCAACACCAUAAAGACCAUGAGCACCUAUAAAUAGAGGUGCUCCCCUCCCAUAGCAAGCAGGUGAUUGCAAGGUAGAUCCAUUUUGUAUACUAAAAUCUAUUUUCGACAGGAAAUUCCAAUUCAAAAUAAAAUGCUCUAUUUUCACACCUAAGAUCUAUUUUUCACACAAACCUUCCUUUUCGCGAACAGACAUCUAUUUUCAAUACCGUUUUACAAAUUCUACAUAUUCUAGGAAACUAUGUCCUAUUUUCACGAAUAGCAAGGAUACUGAAAAAAAACAAGAUUCCAACUGGGAAAACAAAAAUACGUGAAAGAAACGAGAAUCCACCGUGCAAAACAGUAAUAAUGCCAAUAACAUGAAACCUUAAUCAUAGAAGUUCAUUAAAAAUCCACUGCAACAAACUAAGAAUACUACAAACCUUAAUCAUACAAGUUCAUUAAACAUCCACUGCAUCAAACUAAGAUAUGAAUUCAGAGACGGAAGCUGCUGUUAUGGAUAUUCCUCCAAUAGAUAUGAUCUCAUGUCUGUCAUUUACAAUACGAGGAGUAUUAGAUGCACAAAAGAAAUAAGUCUUGCUGCUUGUAUUAGAUAUAGUAAUUGCACAAAACAAAUACAAGGAGUAUUAGAAGCUAAUACUUACUCCUUGUACUUCUCCGAGCAAACGAGAUCAUACAGCUUCGAGCUUAUCUUUUCAGGCGCCUUUGUGUAUCUAGCCACUUUUAGAGUUGAUAUCGCUUUUCCUCUUGUCCUUUUAGCCGACUUUUCAAAGUCACUUACUUUUUCAGCCUUCCUCUUGUGCGAAGUAUCUUCUGCCCCAGAGGAGGAUUCGGAAGUGAAUUCUUGUUGUUCAGGGACAGUUGGCACAGCUUCUCCUUGUACACUUUCCAGGGCAGACCCGAUAGUUGGCAUAGCUUCUCCUUGUACACUUUCCAGGGUAGACCUGGAGACUACCAGGAAGAGGAAUCACCAGCUGCCAUGCCUACAUUUGGGCGCACCCUAUUUGCUUUGCUGUAGAUUAGGUCAACUGCAGUUUUCUGCCGGUACAUACAAACCAUUUCCUGUAUUUUAAGGCAAACAAUAAGUAUUUCUGGGAUUUGCAAAAAAUAAAAGAUACAUCAAGCAAGCACUAACCUUAUCAUGACCAUAUAUGUCCUUUCUUUCAAAACCAUCAAUGUACAUGAGCACAUGGAUCCCGCAAUCAAAACUGCAACAAUAAUUAGCAUAUUGGCAUUGGCAUAUUGGCAUUCAUGAUAGCGUUUUGUAACAUAGCAUAUUGGCAUUGCAAUCUCUACAGCUAAAAAAAUGUCAAACGGACCCAUCUACUACCCCGCCCCUCCUCAUCUCGCCUGGACGCCCCCUGCUCCGCCACCAAUGCGGCGACGCCUCGCUGCGCCACCUGGCAACCGCCCCCCAGACCCCUUCUCUUUCCUGUCCCGCCCGACUGCUACACCAUGCCGCCUCGCUCAGCAUCGCUCCGUCCGGCAUAGCUUAGUUAAAUGUGCUUGCACUUCGGUUAGAUCAUACCAGAGUUGUAGACGUGCGUCUGUGUUUAUGGUUUUUGUGGGCAUCCUUUGUGUGAUCAAGUGGUCUCAAAUGGCUGCUAGUGAAGCUUUCUAUAUUGUACUUAGGCUGGAUAUGGGGUGGCUGAUGAGCAACUUAUACUAAUUCUAGGAUAUUGUUCUAUUGUUCCUUAAAACUAAAAACAAAAUUAUAUUCAUGAGAAGCUUCAUAGCAUGGAAAAUCAUAGGUAAAAGAGGCGACUGCAAAAAAAUUGUGAUAUUAUACUAGUAAAAGAUAAUGGAGAAGUACAAGACUUACUCGUGCUCUUGAACUGCAAGACCAUGCAUGAAUGACAAAGGCCACAAAGAUGUCUGUACACCCAUCUCCAGCAAACAACUGCACGCUGCUUCAAACACACCCAUUGCGCGAUAGUAUACACUGCGACAUGGGUUGGAGUUCAGUACCCAACCACAUUUUCCCUCAAUGUCUAUCACCAGCAGGAACCAGUGAUUCUGAUCUGGAUCUUGGAUAGGCACAAAAACCUAACUGGUGCCCUCUAUGCUUCCAUCAAGUUCUUUCUUCAGAAUCUUAGACAGAUUUAGUUCCAAAGUGUUCCCAUUCCCUUCUGAAACAAUAAUAUAUGGCUUCUUCUCAGCCUUCCAUUCAAAUUUCCACAACAUAAACUGAGCGGACAUUACAGAGGAAUCCAUAUAUCCUGUUGGCUUGAAGCAUUUGACAAAAACAUCUUCAGCAACUGAAUGAUCAUGAAAGUCAAGUAUAGCAUGCUGUCCCGACGAAUCAAGCUUUUGCAGAACAUGCUGAGAGUACAAACUUUUCACUCCAAUUUGGUCCGCUCUACUGUUGCAUCCCUCUAGCAAAGAUCCAUCUAGCAAAGAUCCAAUUUCAGCAUCUAAUUGUGUUCCUCUAGGCACAUGCACGCGUGCCUUAGCAAGAGCAGCUGUUUUCCGUUAACUCCUGUCAACAGGUAUGGCUUCAGCGACAUCAGCUGCCUUCAGCUGCAACAGGCUUUCAUAACAGGUGCGCGACCUGCUCUUUAACUGAAAAAGUGAACAAACCUGUUACAUCUUGGACAAAGAAAUGAUGCCUCUAAUGAAAUCUAGUUGUUACUUACUGGAAGUUCGGCAUAGUCAGAUGAUGACUUAGCUUUACACUUGUUUGCAAUUUCCAUCAGUUCCUUUUUUUUGAAUUUGUUGAUGCGAGGAGGGAGCAAGUCCUUCCCUUUCAACUUCGGAUAGUCCACACUAUCUAAGUAAUACACAUGUCAAGCAUAAUUUAGUGUUAAGACAAACACAGUUGUAAUAAGGAAAAAAAAAGAACAAUUGAGACAAGGUUGAGUCCACCCAUGGAGAGUCCUUGUUGGUCGUGUCCUCCUUGGCUUCUUUGGCGGAGGCUUGUCUUUCUCGGCAUGCCAUCUCAACACAGCUUCCCUCAAAUCUUCAUAGACUAUUCUGGACCAGUCGAACUUAGUAAUCAAGUCCAUAUUUCUGGUGAGCAUGACGGCCUCUUUAUUGAGGGUGCUGCUAGUGCAUGGCAUCAGAUAGGAGUCUAUCACUGUCAUGAAGAAUAAUCUUAAUUUGAGCUCGCUCUCUUCCUCGGUGAGCACCCUGUUUUUCUCUUCCUCGAUGUCAGAUAGCUUUUUAAGCUUCUCAAGAAUAUGUUGGAUGGUAAGAUCUUUCUUUCCUUUUUUUUUUCUUGCCACCCUCCCCAUCUUCACCCUCCCCAUCUUCACCAUCCUGGUCACCAUCUUCCACAUCAUCUUCUUCAUUGUCAAUGGCCUGCUCAUCAUCUUGCUGAGGAAGUAAACCAAGUAUAGAACGCAGCUUAUCAAAUUCAUCAUUUCUUUCCUUCAUUGUGUAUGUUGGAGGCAUGUCUCCACCGAUUGGGACCCCCAGGAUUUUGUUUACCACCCAAGGCGUGAGCUAUAGGUAGACCCCUGGUUUUAUCUGAAUGAUGAUGCAGCCUGCUUCGAGUUUAGAAUUGUCAUACAACCACCGUACCAAAUCUCUUCUUCCUGGGCUUUCCACUGUUAAGUCUAGAAAAUAAUUGUAGGUGUACUCCUACAAAUUAAACAACAAACAGUUCAGUGACACAUAGAUUUCACAUGAGGUUAUAAGAGAGUGAGGGACAAUAAAGAAGACAUACACUGAGAACAACACAGGUCCUUCUAUUCACUUUUUCUUUUUUUUUCUUUUGUCGUUACAAUAGGGACUUAGGGAUAAGACGAUCAGGAUCCAGGGAUCACGUGAGGGCCCUGCUGCCGCCUGGAGCAUGUCGUCUCACUUUUCUACACAAAGAGUGUGUAAGUGAGUCUUGUAUCAAAUUGAGUAAUGAAUAAAGUUUUAAGUUUCCUUGUAGAGAGUUGGUCUCUCGCAUUGGUGUCAGUGCGAAGGUCUUCUCGAAGUAGUGUGGGUAAGGAUCUACAAAGAAGUGGUAGCACACUACUUUGGUGCCACUUCUAGGAAGUCGGUGUCAAGUUCGAGGUGACGAUUUCUCAACAUGAACCAUUAUCUGUUUUGGA